AUUGAACGCUGGCGGCAGGCUUAACACAUGCAAGUCGAACGGUAACAGGAAGAAGCUUGCUUCUUUGCUGACGAGUGGCGGACGGGUGAGUAAUGUCUGGGAAACUGCCUGAUGGAGGGGGAUAACUACUGGAAACGGUAGCUAAUACCGCAUAACGUCGCAAGACCAAAGAGGGGGACCUUCGGGCCUCUUGCCAUCGGAUGUGCCCAGAUGGGAUUAGCUAGUAGGUGGGGUAACGGCUCACCUAGGCGACGAUCCCUAGCUGGUCUGAGAGGAUGACCAGCCACACUGGAACUGAGACACGGUCCAGACUCCUACGGGAGGCAGCAGUGGGGAAUAUUGCACAAUGGGCGCAAGCCUGAUGCAGCCAUGCCGCGUGUAUGAAGAAGGCCUUCGGGUUGUAAAGUACUUUCAGCGGGGAGGAAGGGAGUAAAGUUAAUACCUUUGCUCAUUGACGUUACCCGCAGAAGAAGCACCGGCUAACUCCGUGCCAGCAGCCGCGGUAAUACGGAGGGUGCAAGCGUUAAUCGGAAUUACUGGGCGUAAAGCGCACGCAGGCGGUUUGUUAAGUCAGAUGUGAAAUCCCCGGGCUCAACCUGGGAACUGCAUCUGAUACUGGCAAGCUUGAGUCUCGUAGAGGGGGGUAGAAUUCCAGGUGUAGCGGUG
rnacentral:rRNA from 1 species